rnacentral:rRNA from 1 species
CGGACGGGUGAGUAAUGUCUGGGAAACUGCCCGAUGGAGGGGGAUAACUACUGGAAACGGUAGCUAAUACCGCAUAACGUCGCAAGACCAAAGAGGGGGACCUUCGGGCCUCUUGCCAUCGGAUGUGCCCAGAUGGGAUUAGCUAGUAGGUGGGGUAACGGCUCACCAGGCGACGAUCCCUAGCUGGUCUGAGAGGAUGACCAGCCACACUGGAACUGAGACACGGUCCAG